UGCAAGUCGAGCGGACAGAAGGGAGCUUGCUCCCGGAUGUUAGCGGCGGACGGGUGAGUAACACGUGGGUAACCUGCCUGUAAGACUGGGAUAACUCCGGGAAACCGGAGCUAAUACCGGAUAGUUCCUUGAACCGCAUGGUUCAAGGAUGAAAGACGGUUUCGGCUGUCACUUACAGAUGGACCCGCGGCGCAUUAGCUAGUUGGUGAGGUAACGGCUCACCAAGGCGACGAUGCGUAGCCGACCUGAGAGGGUGAUCGGCCACACUGGGACUGAGACACGGCCCAGACUCCUACGGGAGGCAGCAGUAGGGAAUCUUCCGCAAUGGACGAAAGUCUGACGGAGCAACGCCGCGUGAGUGAUGAAGGUUUUCGGAUCGUAAAGCUCUGUUGUUAGGGAAGAACAAGUGCAAGAGUAACUGCUUGCACCUUGACGGUACCUAACCAGAAAGCCACGGCUAACUACGUGCCAGCAGCCGCGGUAAUACGUAGGUGGCAAGCGUUGUCCGGAAUUAUUGGGCGUAAAGGGCUCGCAGGCGGUUUCUUAAGUCUGAUGUGAAAGCCCCCGGCUCAACCGGGGAGGGUCAUUGGAAACUGGGAAACUUGAGUGCAGAAGAGGAGAGUGGAAUUCCACGUGUAGCGGUGAAAUGCGUAGAGAUGUGGAGGAACACCAGUGGCGAAGGCGACUCUCUGGUCUGUAACUGACGCUGAGGAGCGAAAGCGUGGGGAGCGAACAGGAUUAGAUACCCUGGUAGUCCACGCCGUAAACGAUGAGUGCUAAGUGUUAGGGGGUUUCCGCCCCUUAGUGCUGCAGCUAACGCAUUAA
rnacentral:rRNA from 1 species